rnacentral:rRNA from 1 species
UAGGGAAUCUUCCGCAAUGGAUGCAAGUCUGACGGAGCAACGCCGCGUGGGUGAAGAAGGAUUUCGGUUCGUAAAACUCUGUUGUUAGAGAAGAACAGCGCAUAGAGUAACUGAUAUGCGUGUGACGGUAUCUAACCAGAAAGCCACGGCUAACUACGUGCCAGCAGCCGCGGUAAUACGUAGGUGGCAAGCGUUGUCCGGAUUUAUUGGGCGUAAAGCGAGCGCAGGCGGUCAAUUAAGUCUGAUGUGAAAGCCCCCGGCUCAACCGGGGAGUGUCAUUGGAAACUGGUUGACUUGAGUGCAGAAGGGGAGGGUGGAAUUCCAUGUGUAGCGGUAAAAUGCGUGAUUAUAUGGAGGAACACCAGUGGCGAAGGCGACUCUCUGGUCGGUAACUGACGCGGAGGCUCGAAAGCGUGGGUAGCAAACAGG